rnacentral:rRNA from 1 species
CAGUCGCCGCGGUAAUACGUAGGGUGCAAGCGUUAAUCGGAAUUACUGGGCGUAAAGCGUGCGCAGGCGGUUUUGUAAGACAGAGGUGAAAUCCCCGGGCUCAACCUGGGAACUGCCUUUGUGACUGCAAGGCUAGAGUACGGCAGAGGGGGAUGGAAUUCCGCGUGUAGCAGUGAAAUGCGUAGAUAUGCGGAGGAACACCGAUGGCGAAGGCAAUCCCCUGGGCCUGUACUGACGCUCAUGCACGAAAGCGUUGGGAGCAAACAGGAUUAGAUACCCCUGUAGUCCCUGUCUCUUAUAA